GUUGAACGCUGGCGGCAGGCCUAAUACAUGCAAGUCGAGCGGAAGGAGGAGAAGCUUUCCUUUUUUGUUUUAGAGGCGGGGGGGUGAGUGAAAUGUGGGUGACCUUGCUUUAUGGCUGGGGUUAAUUAGGGGAAACGGAGCUAAUAACCGAAUAUAUUUUGAACCGCAAGGAUCAGAAGUGUCAGACGGUUUUGCUGCGACUGAUACAUGGUUCCGUGAUGCAUUAGCUAGUUGGUAGGGUAACGUCUUACCAAGGCAACGAUGCAUAGCCGACCUGAGAGGGUGAUCAGCCACACUGGAACUGAGACACGGUCCAGACUCCUACGGGAGGCAGCAGUAGGGAAUCUUGCACAAUGGGCGAAAGCCUGAUGGAGCAACGCCGCGUGAGUGAAGAAGGUCUUCGGAUCGUAAAGCUCUGUUAGUAGGGAGGAAGAGAAGUAAGAUUAACUCUGCACAUCUUGACGGUACCUAAACAGAAAGCCCCGGCUAACUACGUG
rnacentral:rRNA from 1 species